rnacentral:lncRNA from 10 species
CUCUGACUGUGGUGGAGCAGCUCAGCAGGAUAAUAAGCUUACUCGCCUGACCUUGGGUCUCUCUCUCAUCCUUUCUCUUGGCUAACCUUCAUUUUGGUGCCAAAACCCAGGAAGGGGAUAGGCUCUGGCUGGGCGUCCUUAGAGGAUUCUCUCUCUCUCUCUCCUAUCAUCCCUUACCCAGCCAACCUCCCCUUCCCGAACCUGCUAAAGACCCUAAGGAUCUCCCAAAAUUCUCCCAUUCAUGCUCCUCAGAGCCACCAUCCCUUCAACAAGACAAAAAGUGAAGAAUCACUUGCACUCCCAUAGCUCCUUGGCCUAGCCACUGAAGACUGAUGAGGCCAGGGCCCCUGGGCCCCGGCUCCCGGCCCCCACUGCCAUCACUGCAUCGGAGCCCAGGGUAACUCUACUAGUAGCAGUUUUUACAGGGCCGUGUUAGAGCCUUCACCCAUGGAACAGUACAAGACAUGAUGCUACUCCGAGAAUACCGACAGCUCCAGGAACAGCAGUCCCUACUACCCAGCCUCUCCCCCCAACCAUCGCCCCUAUCCAGCAAGAAGCAGCCAGAGGACAACGGCGCCCCUCUUCUAUUACCUAUUAAAAGGCUGGAAUGUUAGGAACAAGUUGCACCAGAACCCCUCCCCCUUCCCACCCGCCCCCGCACCCCCCCCCCCCCACCCAAUGCAGCUGUCCCUUACCCUGAAUACUCUGCAGCUGCAUUCCUGGACCCUUAUCUAGGCACUACAGCAAGGUCACCAGACUUGCUUACAGCCCUACGGGCAGCAUGGGGGAGGUCACGAGAAACGUGGAUAAACCUAAGUUACACCCUCUUGUAAAUUCCUAUAUUGUAACCUGGUCACGAGAUGAUAUGUGGUAAGGUUAACCAACAAACAACCCCAGGGUCUCUCUCCCCCAUAUAAAACCCUCAUUUUGUAAGCUCAGGGCUGCCUCCUUUGACUGUGGUGAAGCAGCCUGGCAGGUUAGUAAACUUACUCUCC